rnacentral:rRNA from 1 species
GUGCGGCGAGCUAUACAUGCAGUCGAGCGCAGGAAGCAAGCAGAUCCCCUUCGGGGGUGACGCUUGUGGAAUGAGCGGCGGACGGGUGAGUAACACGUGGGCAACCUGCCUGUAAGACUGGGAUAACCCCGGGAAACCGGGGCUAAUACCGGAUAAUACUUUUCUUUGCAUAAAGGAAAGUUGAAAGGCGGUUUCGGCUGCCACUUACAGAUGGGCCCGCGGCGCAUUAGCUAGUUGGUGAGGUAACGGCUCACCAAGGCGACGAUGCGUAGCCGACCUGAGAGGGUGAUCGGCCACACUGGGACUGAGACACGGCCCAGACUCCUACGGGAGGCAGCAGUAGGGAAUCUUCCGCAAUGGACGAAAGUCUGACGGAGCAACGCCGCGUGAGUGAUGAAGGUUUUCGGAUCGUAAAACUCUGUUGUUAGGGAAGAACAAGUCGGGUAGUAACUGACCCGGCCUUGACGGUACCUAACCAGAAAGCCCCGGCUAACUACGUGCCAGCAGCCGCGGUAAUACGUAGGGGGCAAGCGUUGUCCGGAAUUAUUGGGCGUAAAGCGCUCGCAGGCGGUCCUUUAAGUCUGAUGUGAAAUCUCGCGGCUCAACCGC